UACAGAGGUCUCAAGCGUUGUUCGGAUUCAUUGGGCGUAAAGGGCGUGUAGGCGGCUUCGUGUGUCCCAUGUGAAAGCCCUCGGCUUAACCGGGGAACUGCAUCUGAUACUGGAUGGCUUGAGUUCGGGAGAGGGAUGCGGAAUUCCAGGUGUAGCGGUGAAAUGCGUAGAUAUCUGGAGGAACACCGGUGGCGAAGGCGGCAUCCUGGACCGACACUGACGCUGAGGAGCGAAAGCCAGGGGAGCAAACGGG
rnacentral:rRNA from 1 species